UUCUGAAAGCUGUUUGAUGCACAGUUGCUACAGGAAGUCCACGCCCUGGGGGAGGGAUGGUGGACGGCAGUCCUGGCAGCACCCACAGGAGUUGGUCGGUUGAAGGAAAACCAUAUUCCAGGCUAUCGCUGUGGUACCGUGGUCUGAGGGCACCAUUUCCUCUCGCCUGGGAGGGGAGCAGGCAAGGUGGGGCCCCACUGCCAGGAGCCUCUCUCUCCUGGGCUGGGCUCUUGGACCUCACGUCUGCGUUAAUGCAAACUGCCAGGCGGUCACCCGGCAGUGCCUUUGUGAGAAGCAGCCAGGGACGCCAGAGUACAGGCCUAAGUAGCAGGUGCAGGGAGAAUGAGCUGCAGGACCAAGAGGCACCUGAAUUUAACAUAUUUUUACUGACUGAGCAUUUUAAGAUGGCCUGUUUGUCGAGGUGUCUAAUUUUCCUUUGAAAGAAAUUUAAGAUUUUACCACACCCAGAUGAAAAAAUCCGACAUGCUGACCCAUUUGAACUGAAUCCCCCUUCUAAUGAAGACAAUUUCUUUUUUUUUUUUUUUUUAGGAAUGGCAAUAACUUGUCUGGGUGAUUGGAUUUUAUAUACACGAAUUUCAUCUCCAGUGGCAGCACAGUGACUUGGUCAUAAUAGAUAAAGGAAGAUCUAAAGCUGCCUGGACCGAAGGACGCUCUUGAUCACAUGGGAUGUAGCCGUGGCUGCGUGUCAACAGUGUUUCUGGUCAGAAUCUCCGUGUCCACGAGGUCAGUGGGUAGGUUACUGGAGGUACAUUGCAAAUCAGGGUACAAAGCCUGCUGUGCACCGAGAAUACACACCAGCUGGUGCUCGCAAGGACUGCCGUCCAUCGGUACAACUGCUAUCUUUCUGCUGCAUUUGGGCCUCUGGUGUAUUAAACGAGCAGAACCUACCUGAACGCAAGGACCCACCUCCCGGUGUUGGCGUCUGGGGACAGGUUGGGAGCUACACACAGUAGAAAAGUUGUGGCUGGAAUGAGCUCUGUCAGUAGCUGCUGUUGGGGGCAAGUCAUCCCUGGGGCGUCCUGAACAGGCCCACGUGCAGCAGGGCACAGACGGGCUCUGCUGGGGCUGAGUGCCAAGGGCGGGAUGCGGUGAUCAGGCAAACGCAGGGUGACCCUCCAUGAACACGUCAGUGACAGGCGGCCGAGUGCAAGUCCCACUUCCUGGGUGGGGCGUGGGGACAGGACAUCCCAGCAGGGUGGCAGAGAAGACACGGCUGACACAUGAGACUAGCCCCCAAGGUUGGGUCUCUUCGCUGCCAAAGCCAAGGGGCCCAUGAACUGUGUGCCAGGACUCAGGUGGCUGUGGCUUGUGCGUGGAUGCGGUGGGAACCAGUCUCCUCAGCGUUUUGUGUAACUGCAGAGGAAGGUGAGUUCUGACGGAGCUUCCCGUUAACCAUUACCACGUUAUAAAUCAAUGAAAAUUUACCAAACUCUAGAAGAGGCAGCUACACACCCGGGCUGACGACAGCCGUCUGGGCUCUCCCACCACGACAGCGUCACUGUGCCACCGCCGCCUGGCCCGAGGAGCAGCGCCACCUCCUUGGGACGUAAGAAAGAGGGUGUUCUUAUUACUUCUUCAAGGAGGUAUGAACCUAGUCUGGCUCUAUAUCCCCGUCGUAUCUGAAGGGCUGUAUCUAGACUCGUGGGAUUUAGAGCUAGAUCGGUUCUCAGAAGUCGCUUCCUCCGAUUGUCUGUUGUUUCACGUGGAGAACGAGGCUUAGAGGGUACGUAGCUGCAGGCCUCUCGGCAGCCGGGGACGUGCCCCGCGCUGGUCUCCGAUGCCAGCAGUGAGUCCCUUAUUAAAUUGUGACGUGUAUUAGUGGUAGUAGGUUUAUAUGUAGGCAUAUAUUUGUUAUAUUUGGUAUUAACUUGCCUAAUAAAUAGGCAGUAUUAGUGAAACCAAGAUUUCAGUAGGAUGGCUACUGGAAAACCGAAGGAGUUAAAUGUUUUUCCCAUUAGACUCAGUCGUCUUUUUCUAAAAUCAGCUGAGGAAGCUGUGUGACAGAUGACAACGACCAGCAGAAGUUCAAGUAUUCUUUAUUCAAAGUUGAAAAAUGUACCACACUGCAUUAUUGCAAAAAUUCACUGGUACAAAACACUUUGCAGCUGGUGAGAAGGCAAUAAAAAGUUGAUUUUUAAACUCAUUACUAUAAAUUAUUCUUACAGUACUUUUAGCAAAUUCAGAAUUUCAAACUGCAUUUUCUUUUUCUAAAUCGCCCACAGUACUCGAGGUUCCUGAAGCUAAGGCAGCUGUUCCAAGAGGAGAAGGGGGGAGGUAGCAGACGUCAAGGGAUUUCCAUUUCUCUUUCGAUGCCCACGUACUUGAGGGCGUCAGCCUGGCUGUAUCUGAAACAAACAGCAAGAAAAAGGGGUGAUAAAAGCUGUGACAAGGACUGAAGCCGUGUAGCUUAACUUCCAAACAAACCAAACCCACAAGCCCAAGCUGAAAAGGCAUUUUAAAUUCACUUCUCAUCAAACCCAACAGACUUGCCCAAUGAAAAUCAGUCCCAAGCAAAGUGAGUACAGAUGACGCCCGCAAGCAUCCCUCUGUCUGCAACUGGACGGCUGUG